UACGUAGGGGGCAAGCGUUGUCCGGAUUUAUUGGGCGUAAAGAGCGUGUAGGCGGCCUGGUAGGUCAGCUGUGAAAACUCGAGGCUCAACCUCGAGACGCCGGUUGAAACCAUCAGGCUAGAGUCCGGAAGAGGAGAGUGGAAUUCCCGGUGUAGCGGUGAAAUGCGUAGAUAUUGGGAGGAACACCUGCGGCGAAGGCGGCUACCUGGACAGAAACUGACGCUGAGGCGCGAAAGCUAGGGGAGCGAACGGG
rnacentral:rRNA from 1 species